UUUUUUUAUUUUUUCAAAAACAAGGAAGAGUUGCAUGACACUUCAAAACGAGUCAGAAAAAUCUCCACAAGCGCCGACGAGGGCAGCAGCAGUGCUCAUGUUAACCAGCUGCAGCAGGAGGCUAGCGCCGAAACGGCUAGCCGGGUUUACCGACAGCUAGCCAAGCCGGUGCAGGAGGCUGUCACCGUGGGGGCAGCUGGUCAGGUUCACCGCCAGCCGGAGCAGGAGCCUGCUACAGCGCUAGCAGUCAGCCAGGUGGACCACCAACACCAGGAGCAACAGGAGGGAACCGCGACAUCAGCUGGAAGAGUCAGAAGGAGAGGAGAGGACUGUGGGACGUGAGGUCGUGGGUGGUUAAAGGACACAGAACUGUCACAGACACAUGCAUUAAAACCCGAAAAAAGAGGAGGAGGAGAAUCCGGACAUGCUCGACUAAACACGGUGAGCAUACUAUCUAUUAAUAGGCCGCCGUGCCAAUCUUUGAAUAAUAAUUAUAAUGAUGGCAGAUUUGUUUGAUUUAUUAAAAAUUAUUUCAUUUGAGAAAUUAUUUGCUGACUGUAUACUGUAAGUCCCACCUGUGGUGAUGUGGGCAUUUGCCUGUGCUGUGCCUAAAAUAAUUGUAAAUUAAUAUCGUCACAACAAAAUACCAUGGAUAUUAUUUGCAAUUGAGGCCUGUAAGUCCCACAGCGUGGCAAGUGGACAUUUUUAUGUUGUUUUCAGCACGUUUUCUUUACAUGUUGCCCCUCUUGUCAUACCUGAGCUAUCAUAUACUUUGCCUUGCUUACCAGUGAUGUCCUGAUGGCGAUAUAUGUUUUUCGUAGGAUGGUAGGGGAAAGUCCCGCCUCCUUCGCCUCUGAUUGGCGAGAAAAGCUGGAAAUGACAUC